UGGGGAAUUUUGGACAAUGGGGGAAACCCUGAUCCAGCCAUCCCGCGUGUGCGAUGAAGGCCUUCGGGUUGUAAAGCACUUUUGGCAGGAAAGAAACGUCGCGGGUUAAUACCCCGCGAAACUGACGGUACCUGCAGAAUAAGCACCGGCUAACUACGUGCCAGCAGCCGCGGUAAUACGUAGGGUGCAAGCGUUAAUCGGAAUUACUGGGCGUAAAGCGUGCGCAGGCGGUUCGGAAAGAAAGAUGUGAAAUCCCAGAGCUUAACUUUGGAACUGCAUUUUUAACUACCGGGCUAGAGUGUGUCAGAGGGAGGUGGAAUUCCGCGUGUAGCAGUGAAAUGCGUAGAUAUGCGGAGGAACACCGAUGGCGAAGGCAGCCUCCUGGGAUAACACUGACGCUCAUGCACGAAAGCGUGGGGAGCAAACAGGAUUAGAUACCCUGGUAGUCCACGCCCUAAACGAUGUCAACUAGCUGUUGGGGCCUUCGGGCCUUGGUAGCGCAGCUAACGCGUGAAGUUGACCGCCUGGGGAGUNCGGUCGCAAGAUUAAAACUCAAAGGAA
rnacentral:rRNA from 1 species